CCCAUGGCCCCCAUCUCUUCCCCACGCCCACCUUAUCCAAUCAUCUCAGGAAAGGCAUGCCGCCGGCAACGCUGGAACCGAUCUGGCGCGGUGGUUCCCGUCGACGCCGUGUGCCCCCGGAACCUCUCAUGCAUCCUCUCAGCCACACGGCCCACCAACACCAUGGCCCUCUCGUCACCAUCUCUUCCACCCCAUCCCCAUCUUCUCCGAUGCCGACCUCGGCAAGCAUGCCGGCGACGCAUCUCCUGCCCCCUCCUCUGCGCAUUAGUCCCAGCGCCCAACAUCUCCACACCCCCUCCUCCUCGCCAUCUCCUUCACCCCCUGUCCCGUCUCCUGCCGCUGACCGCCGCCGGCUAUGUGUUGCUUCCUUGGCGGCGGCGUUUUCGCAUACUCCUCCUCCUCCUUCCCCACUGUCACUGAAGCGCCCCAUGUGGAGGUGCUAUGCUUGGCUAGGUCCUUCCCAAUCCUCAUCCCUCCCACCCGUGCCGCCUCCAAAAUUCAUUUUUUUUGUUACCCAGAGUUCAAUUCGUGCGUCCAGGUCGAACUCUCUAGAAGCCAGUCUUGCAGAGUUGCAGUCCAAUAUAAAUCAAAUGGGUAGGCAGAUGGGACUCAAGCUGCUUGCACUACACCUCAAGAGCCACACACUCGUCACGCCAAUCUGGAGCUGUUCCAAGGAAAGGAGCAGUUCUAUUAACGAUGGAUAUGAUAAUAUGUAUUGGAGAAUGCUCGUCGUCCUGGUAAUUUCGGAGAUCUGGCAUCAGCACAAUCGUCUUAUCAUUCAAAUUUUGUAGUUAUCGGCUCCAACGCUCGCAUGUCUUGCGAUUGCGAAGCCAAUGUAAGGAGUCUGAUGCGCCCGCUGGCGUGCAUUCCUUCAGUGCCUCUCCUCUGGCAUCAACCUAAAUGACCACGACAAUCGCUGAAUGUGAGGUGAUCAUUGCUUUCAAUUCAUUUUUGUGUUUAUACUGAAGUUAUUUGGUGUCUGUUUUGCAGGAUAGUUUAACUUGCGAGAAAAUACUAUUGCAUUUUCAAAAAGCGAUUAUGUUUGAUCUUAUAAGCAAUAUUGCAUUUAAAAAAGUAUUUCUCACCAAGGAAGGUAAUUAUAAUAAGCAUAAGAAUCAGCAUGUGAUUGUUUUUAGGAUAACUGACAUAUGCAAAAAUAAAUAAAAAUUGCCAAAAGAUCCUGAUCUUACUAAGCACAGAGUUCUUGGCUUAAGUACCAGGCAGUAGGUGACUGGUUUUCAUGGCGUUACAGCCAAAUCUUGCUUUAUGUAAUGUAAGAAGAGGCUGAAAGUUUGUUCUAUUAAACAGCAAUCUAAUGAUAUAUUAUAUACAGCAAAGGUUGCAUUGCCUUCUGUACGUUGAGCAUUUGUUUGUAUAUCUAAGCUCACUAAAUUGCAUUUCACAAUGAAAAUUCAGAUAUGUUGUUAGUCGUUCAGCUUAGCAAUUCCAGAAGUCGUAGUUCCAGCCAAACAUCUAAAUACUGAGCUCAAAUUGCAGAAAAUAUUGGGUGUUCAGUACUCGAUUUUGGACUAUAUGUUCACCUAUCUCUAGGGUGCCAUGAUCUCAUCUAAAGGAUCUUUUUUGCUAACACAUACCUUGAUGUUGACAUCGACAGCAGCAGAGAUAAUAUACGCCAUAUAAUCUUGUAAACAUAUGUGUAGAUCAGUACAAGUACUUUCAGUCUUCCUCCUUGUGAAUUAGUCUUUCAAGCUGUGGAUGGUCAGGAGUCGCUUGAGCCCUGCAAAGAUAAUGUUCAAGCUACAGCUUGAGUCAGAAUUUGUACGGAUACAUGAAAAUGUGAUGUAUGCCGAGAAAAGUGAGCAUCCACUUGCAGAAGACUUGUGCCUGGAUGUGCUAAUUGACAGUGAAAUGUAGAAAUAAGUUGCAACUUUGUAAUAUCCAUCUGAUAUGUGAAACAAGAAUUGUUACUAAUUCACAACAUGUAUCUACGAUUGUGAGAUGGGACACCAUGUGCACAGCGGAGGCAACACAAGGUCGAGAGAAAAGCCCGUGCGGAAAGAGAUGCAACAUACGGCCAUCAUUACAACUGUUAUAUUUUUGUAUAUGUUGUAAUUAUUCAUGCAAAGGUUACAGGCUUGAUGCACAAUUAUAAGUAUCUGGAGGAGUUGACGAAGCGUGGAGUUUUUUCUUGACAAUACAAAGAGUAUGAGUUAGGAGA